AGCGAGUGAUGAGUCUGCACCAACUGGUACCUGUGCUGUUUGUGUGGCGGGGGGCGAAAGAUCACUUGUUGCCAACUUAUCUGCUGCAAAUUGCUACAAAACUGAACAUUUGAAGAGACCAGAAAAUUGGGCAUUGGUUGAGAAGGCCAAGUACUACUAUAUAGCAGGCUUUUUUUUCUCACAGUUUCCACAGAGUCCAUUCAACUUGUUGCUGAACAUGCAGCUGCAAACAACAUGGCCUCAACUCUGAUGAUGAGGAUGAUGGGGCUAAGGUUCGAAGGUGGGAGAGAAGAGCAUGGAAACGAGGGGGAUGAAGUACAUGCAGAGUGAUCAAGGUAUGUGUAGAAAAUUCAAGCGGAAUAGGUUGAGGUCCGGCGGGCGGCCAAGGCGAGGUUGCCGCCCG